UACGAGGGGGGCGGGCGUUGUUCGGAAUUAUUGGGCGUAAAGGGUGCGUAGGCGGUUUGGUAAGUCUGAUGUGAAAUCUAUGGGCUCAACUCAUAGUCUGCAUCGGAAACUGCCGGGCUUGAGUAUGGGAGAGGUGAGUGGAAUUCCUGGUGUAGCGGUGAAAUGCGUAGAUAUCAGGAGGAACACCUGUGGCGAAAGCGGCUCACUGGACCAUAACUGACGCUGAUGCACGAAAGCUAGGGGAGCAAACAGG
rnacentral:rRNA from 1 species